rnacentral:lncRNA from 1 species
CUGCCCUCGGGCCUGGCUCGCCCGCGGGCGGAUGGCUCCGGGUCUCUGCUGCUGAGGAUGUGGCUGCCGGGCGGAGGUCGUCCACUCCCCUGGGCCUUUCUCCGCGAGCCCUCCCACGCCGCCCGCUCCUCUCCCGGGGCGAAGGGCGGGGACGAGGCGCGCCGAAGCCCCGAGCUGAAGAGAAGGGUGGGGGCAUGAGGGCGCUGGAGUGAGGAACAGAUUGGAGCCUUCCCACUUCCUCUCCAAUCUCAGCCCCCGGGAGGAGGGGUGAGGCCCUCGAGGGGGCCCGGAGUUAAGGAGGAAUAGACCGUUUCUCUCUCUCCUGUCUCCCCCGCCUCUGCCCGUCUUCCCUCUAAGCCGGCCUCUAGGUGCAGAGGCUGACGUCCAGGAUGGGGACCGGGGAAGCCUCUGGAGGGUAUAUCCGGGAAGGCACCAAGGCUGAAGUGAGAGCGGUUCUGGGGAAGGCUUUAAAAAGCAGAUAUGGACCAGGGUAGAGUUCGUACGCUGUAGCUUUUCAAGAACACCGAUCUCAUUAAUUAAAGAACAGCAACUAUUUAAUUCCAGUUAUAAACUAUUGUUUUCCAGUUAGUCUGGGUAGGUGUGGCCGUUUGUAGAAUAGUUAGAUUACAUUAGUCUAUUGCGUUGGUACAGUUGUCUAUAGCUUGAGCAUAUAAAAACUCCUGAGCCCAGCAGAAAAGUUACUUUCCAAUACCAGUCUCCAUCCUCCGUGCUUUGGAAGUUGCAUCGUUUUCCGGUUUUUCGUACUCAAAGAACACUGUCAAUUAUGACAGCUCUGUGACCUCUGGUAAUGAAUUAGUGUAUUAGUCACUCCUGAAACGUUCCUUAAAGUGCUGGAACUUAACAGUAGCACAGCACAUCCAGUACACAGCUGUACCGUAUUUCCAUAUUUUUCAAAGCUGAAAAUCUUAAUUGGAUAUCUUGGAUCAUUAACUUAAAACCUCAGCGGAUUUUUCUUUCAAAGCAGACAUAACUGAGGAUGCUGACCAAUGAAUGCAAAUAAACUAUGCAAUAUUUUUUAAAAUAACAAAUGUAUGUUAGUUUUUUUUAAGCUGAGGUCAACUAUGUUUUGGGGGGUAUGUGCUUUUUUAAAUUAUUGUUUUAUUUCAAUCGAUUUUUGGGGGUAACAGGUGGCGUUUGGUUACAUGAAUAAGGUUUUUAGUGGUGAUUUCUGAGAUUUUGGUGCGUCCGAGCAAUGUACACUGUAUCCAAUGUGUAGUCUUUUGUCCCUCAUUAGCCUUCCCCUUACCCCUGAGCUCCCGAGUCCCCAAAGUCCAAUGUAUCAUUCUUAUUGAAGACAGCUAAAUUUUUAACUCUGAGACUCACUGGAGAGAAUGACUGGUUGUCUUUGGGUGUUACUGAAAAGCCAAAGGAUUAAGCAAUAGGGAUAAAGUAGAGGAGGAGAUAAUUGUUCUCGUAUGUCAUAUGAAAAUGCUAACCAUAGUUUGUAAGCUAACAGAAGAAGCCUGAGGAAGUUCCCGAAUUUAUGAUAUCCUCUUCCCUUUUUUCCAAAGAAAGAUGCAGUCUAGCACCUCAGUUAAGAAUAUGGACUCUAAAGUCAGACUGCCAGGCUUCAAAUUCCAGUUCUGCGACCUCAGCAAAGUUACUUAACCAAGCUCUCAGUGCCUUGUUUUCUUCAUCUGUAAAAUGAGGAUGACGUCACAGCAUUGUUGAGAGAAUUAAUACAGGCUCCAGACUUGUGAAUGGAGAAGUGUUGAGGUGACCCCAGCUCCAGCCACCAGCUGACGACAACCAUACCGGAGAUCCUGAGAGCUGCCUAGCUGACCCCAGGCACCCCCCAGACUUCAUGUAAGCUGUUUGAAGCCGAGGACUUUGUCUGUUUUGUUCACUCCCAAUAGAUUCAGCACUUAGAAGAAUGCCAGGCAGGCUUUCCCCACCAACCAAGAUGGAAUAACAGGGAAAAGACAUACCCUUCUAUCUUCAAUAAUUGGAAACCCAGACAAAGUUUAUGAAACGCUGGUUUUCAAGACAUAGGACAUCAGACAAUCAAGGACAGUAAACACUGAGAUGGGAAACAAACAAGGAAGCCAUGAAAACUUCAAAACUGCUUCACCACCUGGAGACCAAGCACCCUGCAUUAAAAGACAAGCCUUUGGAGUUUUUCUAAAGAAAAAACAUGAACACAGAGAACAGAAGUAAUUAUUGAAGGCCACUACUUCAUUAAGUGUGUCUGUACUGAGAGCAUCGUUCCUAGUGGCUAACCACGUUAUUAGGCUAAGAAGCCCUUUAGUAUUGGUGAAGAGUUGAUCCUGCCUGCUGCUAAGGACAUUUGUCAUGAACUUUUAGGAGAGGCUGCUGUUCAAAAGGUGGCACAUGUUCCUCUUUCAGCUAACACCAUAACUAGAAGAAUGGAUGAAAUAGCAGAGAAUAUUGAGGCACAAUUGUUAGAGAGGAUUAAUGAGUCACCGUGCUACACAAUCCACAAAAGGGUUUUGUCCCAGAAAUAGACUCAUACAUAUAUGAUCAGUGAUUUUCAACAGUGGUACAAAUGCAAGUCAGCGCAGAAAAAAUAAUCUCUUCAACAAAUGGUGCAGGAACAAUUGGAUAUCCAUAAAAUGAACUCGGAUCCACGCUUUGCACCAUAUGCAAAAAUUGACUCAAAAUAGGUAUAGGUCCUAGACCUAAAUGUAACAACCUGAAACUCUAAAAUUUCUCAGGAAAAAAAUGGGAUAAAAUCUUUGUGGUCUUGGAUUAGGCAAAGAUAUUUUCUUGUGUUUGUGGGUAAAGAAACCUUUAAUGAGGGUUCAAGGUGUAAGAGGAGGACCUUGUAGAGAGCCAGCGCUUAGCCCCAGCCUCCUCAUAUGCACAUGGCUCUGUAGAGGUUCUCCAGACAGUGCUGCUGCUGCUGUUUCGAGCCUUAUCUCCUCUGUGCUCCUC